CAGCCGCCGAACUCACCUAAUUUGAACAUUCUUGACUUAGGGUUCUUCGCGGAACUUCAGGCUGUUUUUGAGAAGAUGUCUCCUGGUAAAAUUGUUGAUAUUAUUGCAAAGGUUAAAAAAGCAUAUGAAACGUACCCAGCCGAGAGAAGCAUCCAUAUUUUUCUUACCCUAUAGUCAUGCAUGCACGAGGUACUGAAGAAGAAAGGAGGUAACCGGUACAAGGUCCCACACAUGAGGAAGUCAUUUUUGGUGGCACUCGAAAUGCUUCCGGACGUAGUACCGUGCCAUACUGAUGUUGUAGUAGCUACUAUUGAGGCCCUUCCAGAUGCUUGA
rnacentral:rRNA from 1 species